CGCUUCUCCAGGAACUCUUGGAAGCCCUGGACGCCCAUGCUUCUUCGGCAGGCAGACGAGACAGCGGCUGCGCGAGCUAGCUAGGCGAACCUCCUUUCUACAACCUUCUCUACUUUCUCCUUCAUGGUUGCAGCAGAAACCAUCCUUUCCAGAGAAUCUUGGAUUGAGCUGGAGGCAAGAUGAAAAAUUUCGGCUGCAUUCAAGCACCUGAUUUACUUGUCCCUAAAGUCCAUCUGCAUUAUCCCUGAUUUUUGUGAGACAUCACCAUUUUUAUAAUAAAUUCGUCUUUUUGCUUCA